GACGAACGCUGGCGGCGUGCUUAACACAUGCAAGUCGAGCGGAAAGGCCCUUUCGGGGGUACUCGAGCGGCGAACGGGUGAGUAACACGUGAGUAAUCUGCCCUUGGCUUUGGGAUAACCACCGGAAACGGUGGCUAAUACCGGAUAUGACGGGCUCCGGCAUCGGGGUUCGUGGAAAGUUUUUUCGGCCAGGGAUGUGCUCGCGGCCUAUCAGCUUGUUGGUGGGGUAAUGGCCUACCAAGGCUUCGACGGGUAGCCGGCCUGAGAGGGUGACCGGCCACACUGGGACUGAGACACGGCCCAGACUCCUACGGGAGGCAGCAGUGGGGAAUAUUGGACAAUGGGCGGAAGCCUGAUCCAGCAACGCCGCGUGAGGGAUGACGGCCUUCGGUGUAACC
rnacentral:rRNA from 1 species